AAACAAACAAGUUCCUGUUUUAGUGAACUUUGAAUUUGGACUCAGGAGAGGAAGAUGGUUGUCAAGAAUACUGAACUUAAAAGAUGAUGAAUAACGGUCAGUAAAUGAGGAGAAGAAUCUGUGAUCUGGUGGUUUAGGUUUCAGUGAAAACAGUCAGAGUGAAAGUGAAAGUAUGUGAGCUGAAAAACAGACUCCAUUUUGAGAAAAGAAGAGAGAGGAGAGGACGAGGAGACAGGGUGAGUGUUUACUCUGUUUUAGUUUUAAUGUCAAACUCUUUAUCUGUUUUAUCUGUUAAUGAAAAAAUGAUUUACUGACUAAAACACUUAAAAACUGUAAAACAAAGAAACCUGAGCAGACAAAGAGCUGGAUCAGUUCUUCAUACAGGAAACUGUGUAACUGCAGUUCUUCCUCCUCUUUGUUUAGACUUGUCUUUUUGGUAAAAAUAUGAAUCAGAAUCUUUUUAGCGUCUCAUUUCAAAUUUAAUCCAGUCUCCUUAAGUUUUUUUCUGAGAGUUCAGGGACCUCACAGCUGAUUUUGUUUUGACCAUGAAUCAGACAAGGAUCAGAGAGAGGCCCUGCAGGGUGGGGAGACAUCAGAAGUUCUUGGAUAUUAAACCUGUAUAACUCUUAAAGAGGGGGAUGAAGCUGUUUUUAGACUCUGUACUUCCUUUCUGAUUCCUCUUUUAUUUCUGAACUCUCUCUUCCUGUUUGUGUCUCACCUGUUUGUCUUCUUUGUCCUCAGGUUGUAUAACUCGGUUUCAGCCUCCAUAAAUUUGCACAACAGAAGAUGGAGAAGAUGAGUGUUGGUGUCGAGGAAGAGGAGGGCAGAGCAGAGUCUGAUAUGUUUGACUGUCUGUCUAUGAAGAGUGACCGGUCUAAAGGUUUUGAUAUAAACUUCAGUAAAGAACCAGGACCCCCAGAGCAGGACAGAACAAAGUCUGUUAUCUCCAGCUGUCUGUCUAUGAAGAGUGACCGGUCUAAAGAUCCUCCACCAAAAUUCAGUGAAGAACCAGGACCCUCAGAUUCACAGUAAGAGAAACACUUUUCAAUCACCAAACUCUCAAACAACCUCUGACGUUUCAAAUACAAAACUUUAAAUCCUGACCCCUCUGUUUUCUCCUCUGUUCUCAAAACACUGAUUUUCCUCUUGAACCUGCCAACCUGGAUAAAAUUCAAUUCAAUCCAACUUUAUUUAUAAAGCCCAUUUCAUGCAAAAGGCAGACUCAAUGUUCUUCACAACAGGUGUACAUAGUUAAAAACAGUUAUACAAAAAUCUAUUAGAAAUCAAUUUAAGAGUGUAAGUGCAAGUCAACCAACUUCACCGCGAAUGCUACAGAAAUCUGUUUUUAAAGAUGGCUACUGAUGUGUCUAACUGUGUCAGGCAGGGUGUUCCAUUUUUGUGGGGCAUAAACACUCAAAGCUGCCUCCCCUUAUUUGGAUCUGGUGUGAGGGAUGAGUAAGUUGCCACUGCCUGUUGACCGAAGUGUUCUUGCUGGGGUGUAGGUGAUGAGCAUAUCUGUGAUGUACUGAGGUGCAAGGCCAUGUAGUGCUUUGUAAACCAGGAGGAGUAUUUUGAAAUCGAUUCUUGUCCUAACGGGUAACCAAUGUACAGAUUUGAGAACGGGUGUGAUGUGUUGAUAUUUUUUGGUACCAGUGAGAAUUCAUGCAGCUGCAUUUUGAAUUAACUGUAACCUCUGAAGACUUGAUUUUGGGAGUCCAGUGAAUAAACUGUUACAGUAAUCCAGUUUACUUCUUAUAAAUGCAUGGAUGAAUUUUUCUAAGUCUGAUUUUGACAGAAAGCCCCUCAGUUUGGAGAUAUUUUUGAGAUGAUAGAAAGAUGAUCUUGUAAUGGAUAAAAGGCUGGUAAAGAAAAACUCACUGAGCACAGAUUUACUUAUUAUUCUUGAUGUUGAUAAAAAUGAAGGUCGUAUAAAACAGCAUUUGAAAAGGAUUCUGACUUCUUGUAUUUUCUGAUUUGGUUCCUGUGUUUGGGACGUUUUGAGCCUGUUAGUCUUUGGACUGUGGUGUAUAGACCCCAGAAAACAGUCUGUGGGUCACAAAAUACCAGAAGACCAAUGAAGAAAUAAAUCCUGAAAAAUAAAAACAUAAUUCAGAGCAUCUGUCUGUUAUUAGACCUUUAGAUCUGAUUGGUCAAAAAAAAAGUUUUAAACUGUCAGAGAAAAUCUCUCUACCUUCAAAAAUCACAGUUUAGUUUUUUCUCUUGUCACGACACUUUCAGGCAGCAGCAGCUGAAUAUUUUACAGGAGAUUGUUUUAUGUUAGAGAAAAGAGAAACUCUGGUUUAAUAAAUGUUUCUUAUUCUGUAUCUUUCAAACAUGAAAUAAUAAAGAAAAUAAAUGUUCUUUAUUUCCACAGAGAGACACAGAGAUGUGACUCUGUGGAGGAGCAGCUGUCCAAAUGUUCUUUAUGUCAGGAUGUCCUGAAGGAUCCAGUCUCUACCCGCUGUGGACACAGGUUCUGCAGACAGUGCCUCGCCUCAUUCAGGGACCAGUCUACUUCUUCAGGACACACCUCCUGUCCUCAGUGUGGAAAAAGAACCAGAACAGUUCUUGUUCUUCAGACAGACAGCCAGUCCAGCUCUGAUCGAAGUAAGUCUGAACACCUUUAAACCCUAAAUUAUACAAUUUCUGCCUGAAUUAUUUUGCUUAUUUUAGCCAUAAAAUUGGCAGAAAAUGUCCUAUGAGUGAGUGCUUUUUUAUUCAUUGGCUUUCAACCCUGCAUGAGACUCGGCUCCUGUUUUAGUGUUUUAUGUUUUUUUUUUUUUUUUUAUGUCUAUGCUUUUUUGUCUAUUUAUAUACAGCACUUUGGUUGGCUGUGGUUGUUUUAAAGUGCUUUACAAAUAAAGUUGAGUUUUACCCAUUUUUCCAGAGCACUUAAAACUUUCAAUAUCUGGCUGUCAUUUACGAUUUACUGUCUGUUAAAAGAGUGCUUUAACAUUGUAAGAUAAAGAAAAACACAAAAACGGAAUACAAUUUUUUUUGAGUUUUAAUGAGAAAAAAACAGAAAAUAUUCAUGAAAAACAGAUUGUUCAUUUGAAAUAAAAAAAUUAAAGAGUAUCAAACAUAUUUACAGCAAAAACUUUGGAGUGCUGUCUCUCCAAGUGCAAAAACAGGCUAACUAAAUACAACUGUGUCCAGGCGUUUCUCCUCUCUCACUCAGAGGUCUUUGUGAAACUGUCAGAAGCUGUUCCUUUCUGUCUGCAGACACAGACCCACAUCACACCCCUCACACUUCCAGACAGUUCUCCUUAUGACAAAGUUUGCAGCGUCGUCUCCUCAUGCUAGUUCUUUUAGACUUCAUCUGCCCAUGGCUUGUUUGGGCACGUAGCUAUACUCUACUAUAAACGGUGAGCAUUUCUGCCAAGUGGAUGUAAUUCUCGGGGGGCAUGUGUUUCUCGGCAACACAUCAACGGCUGCAAAUGAGAAACCAACAAGAGAAAACCGCCGAAGAUGAAAACUUUUUAGUAAAAAGAAAAGCAACGUCACUUACCAUUGAAGACGAAUACUCGUUGAUUAAAAGAAAAGCAACGUCACUUACCAUUGAAGAUGAAUAUUCGUUGAUUAAAAGAAAAGCCACGUCACUUAUCUGUAAUUAUUUCGGUAACAAAAAGGAUGACGUCACCUAACACCUGUUCUGUGUCGGCAGUGUCUUUCAUCUGUUUCCACAAUAACGUCCCAGCAGAACAAUAAAAACUAAAAAUAUCUCUAAGACAGACAGAAGCCAUUCUACUAACAUUCACUAAAAGAGGGAAGAUCAGUGCAGGUUAACAGAGAGCCCUUCAUUCAUCCAGAAACCCACUCAGAAAAUCAACCAGUCAAACUUUACCUUUCUCUGUCUGAAGUUUCUCUGAAAGCUUCUCCAUCGGUCCCAAAGUCGUCUGUAAACCUCAGUGGAGGUUUUCUCACUCAGGAAGGAUUUAUCACAGACAUUUUCCUCUGAAAUAAUCACUUUUUUUUUGGUAAUUUUUCUCUCUUUUUGCUCCGUUUCUCUGCUCUGUUGUUUGUCUAUCUACUGCUUUCUUUGUGAGGGGGAGAGGGGACGGAGAGACAGAUUUCCUCUCUAAACAGCAGGAGUGAAAUUACCGUAAUAACCGUUUAUUGGCCGUGUGGCGCAACUUCUCACUUUUCAGAAACCGUUGGAGAUUUUUUUUUGAUAGAACAAACUAUCCCAAAGUUACGGUAAUUUAAAGAGCGCCUGUAUAAAGGUGUCGGCGCCGACGGACUGUGAGGAAAAGUCUGUGUGGAUGAAAACUCAGCUGACUGAUUUUCACAAAGACGUUUCAGUGUUGAGAAGUUUGGUUCAUUUUAUUUUUCUUCUCUUUCAGAAGAUGGCCUCCCGCAGGAGGUUUUAGAUGAACAUAAGAUAAGUCUGAAGAGGAGAUGUGAACGUGUGAAUGAAGGAAGUGAUGUAACAGGAAGUAGUCAAACCCUCCUCAACAGGAUCUUCACUGAGCUCUACAUCACAGAGGGACUGAGUGAAGAGGUGAACACCCAACAUGAGGUGAGACAGCUGGAGACUACUUCAAAGAUGAAGACCCUCCAUGACACGCCCAUCAGGUGUCAUGAGAUCUUUAAAACCUUACCUGACCAACAGAAGAAGCUCAUCAGAGUGGUUCUGACCAACGGCGUGGCUGGUGUUGGAAAAACCUUCUCAGUGCAGAAGUUCACUCUGGACUGGGCAGAGGGUUUGGAGAACCAAGACCUCCAUCUGGUGGUCCUGCUUUCAUUCAGGGAGCUGAACCUGAUCAGAGAUGAGCGCUUCAGUCUUCUGAGUCUGCUCCAUGUUUUCCAUCCAACCCUAGAGAAGGUCACAGCAGAGACGCUGGCUGUCUGUAAACUUCUGUUCAUCUUUGACGGUCUGGAUGAAAGCAGACUGUCUCUGGAUUUCACAGACUCUGAGGUGGUGUCUGACGUCACACAGAAGUCUUCACUGAACGUUCUGAUAACAAACCUCAUCAAGGGGAACCUGCUCCCCUCAGCUCUCAUCUGGAUAACUUCUCGACCUGCAGCAGCCAAUCAGAUCCCUCCUUCACAUGUGGACAGGGUAACAGAAGUACGAGGCUUCACUGACGACCAGAAGGACGAGUACUUCAAGAAGAGGUUCAGAGAUGAAGAUCUGUCCAGAAGAAUCAUCUCACACAUCAAGUCCUCCAGGAGCCUCCACAUCAUGUGUCAGAUCCCGGUCUUCUGCUGGAUCACUGCGACAGUUCUGGAGGACAUGAUGAGCAGAGAGCAGAGAGGAGAGCUGCCCAAGACCCUGACUGACAUGUACUCACACUUCCUGCUGGUCCAGACUCAGAGGAAGAAGCAGAAGUAUGAAGGAGGACAUGAGACAAGUCCUCAGGCACUGAUGGAUGCUGACAGUGACGUCCUCCUGAAGCUGGGGAGGCUGGCCUUUGAACAUCUGAAGAAAGGAAACAUCAUGUUCUACCAAGAAGACCUGGAGCGGUGUGGUCUGGAUGUCUCAGAGGCCUCGGUCUACUCAGGAGUUUGUACAGAGAUCUUCAGAAGAGAGAGUGUGAUCUUCCAGAAAACUGUUUACUGUUUUGUUCAUCUGAGCGUUCAGGAGUUUCUGUCUGCAGUCUACAUGAUCCACAGUUUCACAAACAGGAACACAGAAGCUCUGAAGACUUUCCUAAGAAGCAACGAUGAUGAAGAUAAAAUGUCUUCUUCAGAGAUGGUUGACAGAUUUUUUCAAAACCUGGAUUAUUUUUUCUCAUCUCAGGAUGUCUUCCUGAAGAGUGUCGUGGAGAACUCCCUUCUCAGUAAAAACGGUCACCUGGACCUGUUUGUUCGCUUCCUUCAUGGACUCUCUGUGGAGUCAAACCAGAGACUCUUAGGAGGUCUGCUGGGUCACACAGACAACAGUCCAGAAAUGAUCCAAACAGUCAUCAAGAACCUGAAGGAGAUGAACAGAGAAGAUAUCUCUCCUGACAGAAGCAUCAACAUCUUCCACUGUCUGAUGGAGAUGAACGAUCUGUCGGUUCAUCAGGAGAUUCAAGAGUUCCUGAAGACAAAGAACAUAUCAGAGAAGAAACUCUCAGAGAUCCAAUGCUCUGCUCUGGCCUACAUGCUGCAGAUGUCAGAGGAGGUUCUGGAUGAGUUAGACUUACAGAAGUAUAAAACAUCAGACCAGGGACGACUGAGACUGAUCCCAGCUGUGAGGAACUGCAGAAAGGCUGAGUAAGUCCAGGUUUUAUUCUCAGAAUAGUGUAAAUGAUCCCUGUAGUUCUUCUAAUGUCCACGUUACUGAUGAUGUUCUUCUUCAAAUAGAAAUCCACUCAAAUAUCAGGGAGGGGGUUUCUUCAGCAAAAACAUGAUCCUGGUGUCUAAAGUCCUGUUAGUCCAGGAUGAGGUCUACCUGUGGACCCCUGAGAACUUGUCCUAAUUGUGGAGGACCUCUUUGUUUUGAAUCGUGUCUGUAAUGAAUAAAGUGGAACUUUGAGGACAAAUCAGCGACCAUAUCUGAGGACACACAGAGGUCUUCUGAUGAUGGUAUCAGUCCAGAUCAGGUGAACUUGAGUUUUAAGAAGGUGUCUGCAGCUUCUUCCUGCUGGUUUUCAGGUUGGAAAUGAUGAAUCAGUUGUAAAUGAGGGUGUUGACAGCAUUGAUGGUGAAAAUAGAACUGGAUCAUUUUCUACACAGUGGCAGAACUGUCUAACCUUCAAAGAAAUGUUUUUAUCUGAACCAAACAGAGAAAAAGGAGCUGCUGUGAUUUAGUGAGUCGUCUUCUGAUUGGUCAACAGUCAGUGCCUUACAUUAUAGCAGGAUGUCAACACUAAACACUGAGAGGAGCAUGAGUCAUGGAGUCAUUUGUCUUGAACGUCUGAACAGUUUUUUUUUUCUUCUAAACUUGGACUUCCUGUCUUCUCUCAUGGCUGUGGUCCUGAUAUUAGUAUCUGUCUGGUUAAAAACAGGCCGUCUGUCAAACCAAAGAUCAUGUUUGAGUUGUUUUUGGGGAAGAGAAACAUCAAAUAACCCUUUAAUAAAAUAUUGUUUGAUAUUCAUUUUGUCACAGAUUUAAUAACUGUGGACUCUCAGAGACUCACUGUGAAGUUGUGGCCUCAGCUCUGAAGUCCAACCCCUCCCAUCUGAGACAUCUGAACCUGAGAAACAACAGACUGCAGGAUUCAGGAGUGAAGCUUCUCUCUGCAGGACUGGAGAGUCCAAACUGCAGACUGGAGACUCUGAGGUGAGACACCAUUUCCUUCCGAUCUAACAAUAAGAUGUGACAGCUGCUGCCUUAGAUUUUUCUCUGUGGUUUUUCCAUCAACUUUGGUCGAGCAGUUUGAAUUUGUCGUUGUAAAACUUCAACACAGGAAGAAAAAUCCGACAUUUCAGAGUCGACUUUGAGUAGAACGAUGGAUGUAGAAAGGAAGCAGGAGAAAAUCAGUCCCACAAAUAUUAUACAUGCUUGUAGAGGGCAGGAGCAGCACAGACUAAAGGCUGAUAUUGAACUGAUCCACAGUUAAUGUGAUCACUAAUGAAUGAAUGAAGUGUCAGAGAAAUGAUGAGCUGCAGAUUGAAACCUGAAGAACAAAGUUAAUCCAACUCUGGAUAUUUCAUUUGGAAACUCUUGAAAACUUGAAUUUCUUCUUUGCUCAGUCGUGUUCAAAUGUAAAAACCAGAUCCAGAUUUUUCUGCAGUUUUCACUUCAGUUUGUUGAACAUGAACAUCAUCUUGUCCAGCUGGUCCAUAAAAACCUCUCUGAUCAAUGAUCUGUUGGUUUAUUUAAGAGUAGUUUGUCAGUUGUUGACAGCAGACGGACAGACCCCUGAAUAAACUCCUGACUGUUUUCAUCUUCAUGAAGAAUUCAGGACUACAAAAGAACCUUUGAGAUUUCUCACAGGAGUUUCUCAGGAUCUCACUAAAGUUUUCUGUUUCUGUAAAAUUUUCUCGACUGAUAAAUUCCUCUGGAUCUUCAAAAAGUUUAGAGAGGAUUUUACAAAGUUCCUGAAGAUCAACUCUGAAAAAGUUCUUCUUCCGUGUCCUUCAGGGUUCAAGAACAUUGAAUCAUUAAAAACAGGAACAGUUUCUUCAGAGGUUACAUGAUUUUUUUCUUUUUUCAGACUGUGACAGGUGUUUAUUAGUCUUUUUGACUCAUUACAAUAAUGAGGAUAAAGUCAUGGACUAAACUUGGGCUCCCAGUUUCCUUGUUGUUGUUUCUUCAGCUAGCAUCAUUGUUUUCAUCUCAGUUAUUAAAGUAAUAAUGAUGCUUCAUAAAUUCAGAGUCACAAAAAAACACCAAACAAACCAAAUCUGAAAAAAAUUCACUUUUUCAUCAAAUGAGUUUAAUCGGUCAGAACAUGAGGUUUGAGUUUUCAUGAGGAGGAAACGAGAAAGAUCUGCUCUGACAGUUAGAAACACAGACACCUGAAUUUACACUGACAGACAGAGAGACACAGACAGAGACACAGACAGACACAGACAGAGACACACAAACACAGACUAACAGAGAUGUUCCUCUUCGUCUCUUUGCUGUGAUGACUGAAGUCACAAAAACAAAGUUUUCUUCGUCACUUUUAUGAUUGAACCAAAGAAGUUAAAGAACCAAACUCUCAGAUUUUGUUCUUCUCAAUUUUAUUUGAACCAUUUAGAUUUUUCUCCUGAUCAAUAUUCAAUGAUCAGAUUGAUCAGGUUCCUGUUUUGGCUCCACUGCCUCUUUUCUGCAGCUCAAUAACUGCUCAUAUGGUUUGAAAGGUUCCUGCAGUAAAACCCGAUUAGAGAGUGGACUAAAUGAAAUGUGAGUGAACUCAGCCAUCAGUGAAUCAAUGACAAAGUGAGAGGAAGAGUGGAUCUGUCUGCUGUCUGACCUUGUUGAUCCUGAUGAAGGUGAGGGAGAAGAGUAAAGCAGUAAAGGUGAUGUUGUUGCAGACAGAGUCAGCUGACCUGUCUCAUCAGAGUCUCAUCCAUUCUCUGUUUGGCAGAGCACUGAUGUUAGAGUCUGAGAGCACAUUCAGGUUCAGCUUCACAUGGGCUGGAUCUGCUCAAUACAAACUCUUGAGACCAGCCUGGUUGAGGGAGGUGGGCUCAGUGUCCUGGGUGACUCUCUCUGAGCUCUUCUUGGUUGAGAGUAUUUCUGGUUUGUCUCUGACUUCCAUGAACUCAGAUCUGGAGGAUUGCUGGCUGGUCCGGUCCAGUUCUGACAGUAGAGACAACACAGUCUGUUAUUCUGGGUUGAGUGUUCUUGUUGAAGAUCAGUGUACAGUGAGGGAUGAAGGCAGACAAAGAUCCUCCUGUUUCCUCCAUGUCACAGUUCAAGUUCAUUUUGAAGACUUUGAUUGAUCCGAGCGCUGAAGAGGAACAGGAAACGAGGAGUAGAGAGUGAGGGAGGACUUACAGCAAAGGAUCAUGGGAGUCCAACCAGCAACUGCUGCAACAAGGACUCCACCUUCUGAUCACAUGAACCUCUAAUCCAAACCAGUGCUCCAUCACAUUUGAUGUCUUGUCUGUUAUUUUACAUGGAGGGUCAGAGCAGACCAGAUCAUGAGCUCUGACAGACUGGAUCUGGUCCAAAGGUCUCCUGUUGGAGUUCUCUAAGCUCCAUAUUUUAAACCUGAACACCUGAAGUUUGAUUAUUAAUUAUUUUUAUCUUCAUUCUCUUUCCUUUUUUCAGAUUGUAUAAAUGCAGUUUGUCAGAGAUCAGCUGUUCUUCUCUGGCCUCAGCUCUGAAGUCCAACCCCUCCCAUCUGAGAUAUCUGGACCUGAGUCACAACAAGCUGCAGGAUUCAGGAGUGAAGCUUCUCUCUGCAGGACUGGAGAGUCCAAACUGUAAACUGGAGACUCUGAGGUGAGACACCAUUUCCUUCUGAUCUAACAAUAAGAUGUGACAGCUGCUGCCUUAGAUUUUUCUCUGUGGUUUUUCCAUCAACUUUGGUCGAGCAGUUUGAAUUUGUCGUUGUAAAACUUCAACACAGGAAGAAAAAUCCGACAUUUCAGAGUCGACUUUGAGUAGAACGAUGGAUGUAGAAAGGAAGCAGGAGAAAAUCAGUCCCACAAAUAUUACACAUGCUUGUAGAGGGCAGGAGCAGCACAGACUAAAGGCUGAUACUGAACUGAUCCACAGUUAAUGUGAUCACUAAUGAAUGAAGUGUCAGAGAAAUGAUGAGCUGCAGAUUGAAACCUGAAGAACAAAGUUAAUCCAACUCUGGAUAUUUCAUUUGGAAACUCUUGAAAACUUGAAUUUCUUCUUUGCUCAGUCGUGUUCAAAUGUAAAAACCAGAUCCAGAUUUGUCUGCAGUUUUCACUUCAGUUUGUUGAACAUGAACAUCAUCUUGUCCAGCUGGUCCAUAAAAACCUCUCUGAUCAAUGAUCUGUUGGUUUAUUUAAGAGUAGUUUGGCAGUUGUUGACAGCAGACGGACAGACCCCUGAAUAAACUCCUGACUAUUUUCAUCUUCAUGAAGAAUUCAGGACUACAAAAGAACCUUUGAGAUUUCUCACAGGAGUUUCUCAGGAUCUCACUAAAGUUUUCUGUUUCUGUAAAAUUUUCUCGACUGAUAAAUUCCUCUGGAUCUUCAAAAAGUUUAGAGAGGAUUUUACAAAGUUCCUGAAGAUCAACUCUGAAAAAGUUCUUCUUCCGUGUCCUUCAGGGUUCAAGAACAUUGAAUCAUUAAAAACAGGAACAGUUUCUUCAGAGGUUACAUGAUUUUUUUCUUUUUUCAGACUGUGACAGGUGUUUAUUAGUCUUUUUGACUCAUUACAAUAAUGAGGAUAAAGUCAUGGACUAAACUUGGGCUCCCAGUUUCCUUGUUGUUGUUUCUUCAGCUAGCAUCAUUGUUUUCAUCUCAGUUAUUAAAGUAAUAAUGAUGCUUCAUAAAUUCAGAGUCACAAAAAAACACCAAACAAACCAAAUCUGAAAAAAAUUCACUUCUUCAUCAAAUGAGUUUAAUCGGUCAGAACAUGAGGUUUGAGUUUUCAUGAGGAGGAAACGAGAAAGAUCUGCUCUGACAGUGAGAAACACAGACGCCUGAAUCUACACUGACAGACAGACAAACACAGACAGAGAGACAGACACACAAACACAGACACACAGAGAUUUUCCUCUUUGUCUCUUUGCUGUGAUGACUGAAGUCACAAAAACAAAGUUUUCUUCGUCACUUUUAUGAUUGAACCAAAGAAGUUAAAGAACCAAACUCUCAGAUUUUGUUCUUCUCAAUUUUAUUUGAACCAUUUAGAUUUUUCUCCUGAUCAAUAUUCAAUGAUCAGAUUGAUCAGGUUCCUGUUUUGGCUCCACUGCCUCUUUUCUGCAGCUCAAUAACUGCUCAUAUGGUUUGAAAGGUUCCUGCAGUAAAACCCGAUUAGAGAGUGGACUAAAUGAAAUGUGAGUGAACUCAGCCAUCAGUGAAUCAAUGACAAAGUGAGAGGAAGAGUGGAUCUGUCUGCUGUCUGACCUUGUUGAUCCUGAUGAAGGUGAGGGAGAAGAGUAAAGCAGUAAAGGUGAUGUUGUUGCAGACAGAGUCAGCUGACCUGUCUCAUCAGAGUCUCAUCCAUUCUCUGUUUAGCAGAGCGCUGAUGUUACAGUCUGAGAGCACAUUCAGGUUCAGCUUCACAUGGGCUGGAUCUGCUCAAUACAAACUCUUGAGACCAGCCUGGUUGAGGGAGGUGGGCUCAGUGUCCUGGGUGACUCUCUCUGAGCUCUUCUUGGUUGAGAGUCUUUCUGGUUUGUCUCUGACUUCCAUGAACUCAGAUCUGGAGGAUUGCUGGCUGGUCCGGUCCAGUUCUGACAGUAGAGACAACACAGUCAGUUAUUCUGGGUUGAGUGUUCUUGUUGAAGAUCAGUGUACAGUGAGGGAUGAAGGCAGACAAAGAUCCUCCUGUUUCCUCCAUGUCACAGUUCAAGUUCAUUUUGAAGACUUUGAUUGAUCCGAGCGCUGAAGAGGAACAGGAAACGAGGAGUAGAGAGUGAGGGAGGACUUACAGCAAAGGAUCAUGGGAGUCCAACCAGAAACUGCUGCAACAAGGACUCCACCUUCUGAUCACCUGAACCUCUAAUCCAAACCAGUGCUCCAUCACAUUUGAUGUCUUGUCUGUUAUUUUACAUGGAGGGUCAGAGCAGACCAGAUCAUGAGCUCUGACAGACUGGAUCUGGUCCAAAGGUCUCCUGUUGGAGUUCUCGAAGCUCCAUAUUUUAAUCCUGAACACCUGAAGUUUGAUUAUUAAUUAUUUUUAUCUUCAUUCUCUUUCCUUUUUUCAGAUUGUAUAAAUGCAGUUUGUCAGAGAUCAGCUGUUCUUCUCUGGCCUCAGCUCUGAAGUCCAACCCCUCCCAUCUGAGACAUCUGAACCUGAGAAACAACACUCUGCAGGAUUCAGGAGUGAAGCUUCUCUCUGCAGGACUGCAGAGACCAAACUGCAGACUGGAGACUCUGAAGUGAGACACCAUUUCCUUCUGAUCUAACAAUAAGAUGUGACAGCUGCUGCCUUAGAUUUUUCUCUGUGGUUUUUCCAUCAACUUUGGUCGAGCAGUUUGAAUUUGUCGUUGUAAAACUUCAACACAGGAAGAAAAAUCCGACAUUUCAGAGUUGACUUUGAGGAGAACGAUGGAUGUAGAAAGGAAGCAGGAGAAAAUCAGUCCCACAAAUAUUACACAUGCUUGUAGAGGGCAGGAGCAGCACAGACUAAAGGCUGAUAUUGAACUGAUCCACAGUUAAUGUGAUCACUAAUGAAUGAAGUGUCAGAGAAAUGAUGAGCUGCAGAUUGAAACCUGAAGAACAAAGUUAAUCCAACUCUGGAUAUUUCAUUUGGAAACUCUUGAAAACUUGAAUUUCUUCUUUGCUCAGUCGUGUUCAAAUGUAAAAACCAGAUCCAGAUUUGUCUGCAGUUUUCACUUCAGUUUGUUGAACAUUAACAUCAUCUUGUCCAGUUGGUCCAUAAAAACCUCUCUGAUCAAUGAUCUGUUGGUUUAUUUAAGAGUAGUUUGGCAGUUGUUGACAGCAGACGGACAGACCCCUGAAUAAACUCCUGACUGUUUUCAUCUUCAUGAAGAAUUCAGGACUACAAAAGAACCUUUGAGAUUUCUCACAGGAGUUUCUCAGGAUCUCACUAAAGUUUUCUGUUUCUUUAAAAUUUUCUCGACUGAUAAAUUCCUCUGGAUCUUCAAAAAGUUUAGAGAGGAUUUUACAAAGUUCCUGAAGAUCAACUCUGAAAAAGUUCUUCUUCCGUGUCCUUCAGGGUUCAAGAACAUUGAAUCAUUAAAAACAGGAACAGUUUCUUCAGAGGUUACAUGAUUUUUUUCUUUUUUCAGACUGUGACAGGUGUUUAUUAGUCUUUUUGACUCAUUACAAUAAUGAGGAUAAAGUCAUGGACUAAACUUGGGCUCCCAGUUUCCUUGUUGUUGUUUCUUCAGCUAGCAUCAUUGUUUUCAUCUCAGUUAUUAAAGUAAUAAUGAUGCUUCAUAAAUUCAGAGUCACAAAAAAACACCAAACAAACCAAAUCUGAAAAAAAUUCACUUUUUCAUCAAAUGAGUUGAAUCGGUCAGAACAUGAGGUUUGAGUUUUCAUGAGGAGGAAACGAGAAAGAUCUGCUCUGACAGUUAGAAACACAGACGCCUGAAUCUACACUGACAGACAGACAAACACAGACAGAGAGACAGACACACAAACACAGACACACAGAGAUUUUCCUCUUUGUCUCUUUGCUGUGAUGACUGAAGUCACAAAAACAAAGUUGUAUUCGUCACUUUUAUGAUUGAACCAAAUAAGUUAAAGAACCAAACUCAUAGAUUUUCUUCUUCUCAAUAUUAUUUGAACCAUUUUGAUUUUUCUUCUGAUCAAUAUUCAAUGAUCAGAUUGAUCAGGUUCCUGUUUUGGCUCCACUGCCUCUUUUCUGCAGCUCAAUAACUGCUCAUAUGGUUUGAAAGGUUCCUGCAGUAAAACCCGAUUAGAGAGUGGACUAAAUGAAAUGUGAGUGAACUCAGCCAUCAGUGAAUCAAUGACAAAGUGAGAGUAAGAGUGGAUCUGUCUGCUGUCUGACCUUGUUGAGCCUGAUGAAGGUGAGGGAGAAGAGUAAAGCAGUAAAGGUGAUGUUGUUGCAGACAGAGUCAGCUGACCUGUCUCAUCAGAGUCUCAUCCAUUCUCUGUUUGGCAGAGCACUGAUGUUAGAGUCUGAGAGCACAUUCAGGUUCAGCUUCACAUGGGCUGGAUCUGCUCAAUACAAACUCUUGAGACCAGCCUGGUUGAGGGAGGUGGGCUCAGUGUCCUGGGUGACUCUCUCUGAGCUCUUCUUGGUUGAGAGUCUUUCUGGUUUGUCUCUGACUUCCAUGAACUCAGAUCUGGAGGAUUGCUGGCUGGUCCGGUCCAGUUCUGACAGUAGAGACAACACAGUCAGUUAUUCUGGGUUGAGUGUUCUUGUUGAAGAUCAGUGUACAGUGAGGGAUGAAGGCAGACAAAGAUCCUCCUGUUUCCUCCAUGUCACACUUCAAGUUCAUUUUGAAGACUUUGAUUGAUCCGAGCGCUGAAGAGGAACAGGAAACGUGGAGUAGAGAGUGAGGGAGGACUUACAGCAAAGGAUCAUGGGAGUCCAACCAGCAACUGCUGCAACAAGGACUCCACCUUCUGAACACCUGAACCUCUAAUCCAAACCAGUGCUCCAUCACAUUUGAUGUCUUGUCUGUUAUUUUACAUGGAGGGUCAGAGCAGACCAGAUAAUGAGCUCUGACAGACUGGAUCUGGUCCAAAGGUCUCCUGUUGGAGUUCUCUAAGCUCCAUAUUUUAAACCUGAACACGUGAAGUUUGAUUAUUAAUUAUUUUUAUCUUCAUUCUCUUUCCUUUUUUCAGACUGAGGAGCUGCAGUUUGUCAGAGAUCAGCUGUUCUUCUCUGGCCUCAGCUCUGAAGUCCAACCCCGACCAUCUGAAACAUCUGGACCUGAGCAGAAACAAUCUGCAGGAUUCAGGAGUGAAGCUGCUGUGUGACUCUCUGCAGAGUCCAAACUGUAAACUGGAGACUCUAGAGUGAGACUUUUUUCCUCCAUUCAAACAUGAUCAUGAUUUGUUUGUGAUGAUGACACUAAACUGCUGACUCAGGACUGAAACACUGACCCAGACUGAACACCUUCAGUCCAGAGUAGAUUUUCUGCUUCAGUGGAUUAUUUGAUUGACUCCAGUUAGAUCACUGCUGAGCUCCAGUGAAUUAAAACCUGAACCCAAGAAGAAAACUCUUUGUAGAGUUCACAGUGAGAAGCACAUUCAGACAGAAAACAGAAGCAGGGGGAGAUUUGUCAGACGAGAACCAUUCAAACUUUAGUUCAGGACAAGAAAUGGAAAAAACUCAGAGUUUAGUUUCUGACUCUGAUGAAAGUCCAGCUCUGUUACUUUGAAUUUUGUUUUUGAAUCUUUGUGUGAAAAUCUGAAUUUUCUGGUUUAUCUGCACUUUUCUGAAGCCUUGCUGUGUUUAGACUGAAAUAUUUACCUCUCAAAGACGUGAUAUUUUUGGUUCAGCAAAGUGAAAAUAUUCUGAACAUCCUUUGUUUCCCAUCCGUCCUGAAGUCGCUGACAUUUUCUGAAAAUAUUGAGCUGCAUCUACAAUCAGUAAAAAAGUCUCUGAGUUUUUUAUUUCACUAUUUAAUGUGUUUUUGAAUUCAGUGUUUCAAACUGACUUCCUGUUUGGUUCAGCUCUUUGGAGCGUCACUUUUCUUUGAUUCAUACUUUCCAAACCUUUCCCCUGAACUCUACAGAUUUAAGACAUCAGGUUUCAAACUGGAUCAUUUUUCUCUAAAAUCUCAUUAUUUCCUCUUUAUUUAGGUUGUGGCGCUGCAGUUUGACGAAGAUCAGCUGUUCUUCUCUGGCCUCAGCUCUGAAGUCCAACCCCUCCCAUCUGAAAACUCUGUGGCUGUAUGGAAACAAUCUGCAGGGUUCAGACGUGGAGCUGCUGUGUGAUCUUCAGAAGAGUCCAGACUACAGACUGGAGGAUCUGGAGUCAGUAUAGAGUUGGAGUUAGUCUGUGCUGAUCUCUCCUGUUCCUCUCCACACAGUAUCACAGCAGAUAUUCAGUAUUUCCUGCUGACUCUUCGACCCUCUCAGAGGAUUAUCUCUUUAGUGAAGCUGUGAGAACAGAAAUCAUCAAACCAGGAGUGUAAGAGUGUCAGUGAUGAAAAAAGUGUCUCCUCGUCUCUAUAUUUCAGAUCAAAUGUAGAAAUGAGACAUAAUGAAACAGAAAUGUUCAGUUUCUGCUCUGAAGUCCAGUUUAUAGUUCUCUGUAUUCAACACAGACUUUAUUUCUCUGCUAACUUGUUGAUUUUGAGCUCUAAGUCUGAAAACAGACAGCUGUUCUUUAUACUUGUUAUUUUCACAGCAGGUUUGUUCGAUCAGCUUUAACACAUUUGACAGGAAUGAUUUCUUUAUUUUGAUGAUGUUGGUUUAUUUGUGAGGAAACCUGCUGCUUUACACCAUCACUUCUGGUCUGAGCAGGACUGAGACCUGCUGGUCUGUAAACUGGAUGUUCUUCAGUCCAGCUGAUGAAGUGAGUCUCAGAGUGGAAACACUGAACGUCUUUUUUUCUCUCCUCAGAUGGAGUUAACAUCUGUCAGAGUGAAUAAGAAGAGGAUCGUGUGUUUCCUGACGAUCAGAGAGGUGGAGGCAGCAGCAGUGAGGGUGAGGUGAGUCUCUGACUGAGAGACUGACUGACCAAUCACAGCGGGCGGAGAGGACUCUGGGAGCUGCACUUUGACCUGCUCUGAGAUCAGCUCAGGACCUGGACUCUGGAUAUUUGAUAUUUUCCCUCAUACUCUGGGAUCAAACAGUCUGAACAGGUUUGUUUUGUUGAUGGAAACAUGAUCAUAAAUUUACACUUUGAUUGGAUUACUUUGUUUUCACCAUGAUGCAGCGCCACCCAGUGGAAAUAUAAAGAGGUGGAGUUGAUUUAUUCCCUCAUAUUUCUGCAGCAGGAGUUGAUACCAUGUGUGAGAGUAGAUCAGUCAGAAGUUCAGAUUAAACCCAAAGGUUUUUUCUUUCCUUUGCACCGUUAGAGACCGAAUAUAAACUGAAGGGAGAGGAAGAGAAGUGAGGAGAGAUGGAGGUGAAGGGAGGAGGAGGAGGACAGGGUUUGGGGUUUUAACAAAAAUCUGAAGCUUUAUUCUUUCACUUGAUUAUUUUUAUUCAUCCGUUUUCUUCUUCAUUUUCUGAACUGAUUGUAAAUAUUGACUGGAGGUAAAUUGACCUUAUUUUAUAUUAUUAGACAUUAUUUUCCGUCUCUUUACAUGUUUUUGUUCUCAUAUCAUCUUUGUGCUCAUCAAUAAUCGAUUCCCUCCAGUUUGAACAAAUACAAUUAUUAAACCAUAAAUGAGACCUGAGAGUAAAAUUAAAAUGUGUGAAAUAUAAUCAGUCAAAGGAAAGAUUCUUAAACAAAAACAAAAUCAUUAUUUUUACUUUAUUAUGAUGGAGAAGUUUUCCUCUGACAGACAAAAAUAACCAUAUUGACCGGAGUCUGGAAAAAGUGAGAUCAGCAUCUAUUCAGGGUGAAGUCAUUAAUGUGGUCGAUGCUGUUUUAUAAACUCAGUGUUGUUGAUUACAAUCUCAGCUUCAUAAACUGAUGCUACAGUGGAGUGACUUCCUGUAAAAUCCACUGGCUUUGUGAGACCGUCAGCUUUCAGGAGAUCAGUUUGUGUUUCUGUGACACUCCAAAGCUUUUCUAUCCCACAGAAAAGAUCGGUGUGUUUUCAGAGACCUUCCUGAUCCCAUCCCUCCAAAAUAAAAAUAAUCUGAUGGUUUAUGGAUUCAUUUCAGUAACAAAGUGUCAUUUCUGUUGUUAGCCAAUCAGAGGCUGUAUCUGCCAUCAGCUGACCUGUAAAGGUCCAAUCAGAAGUCAGGACAGCUCAUGCCACAGUCUGAUCACACUACAGACACAUAAAACAUAGAACUAUUGUAAACAGAUUUGUCCUCUUCAGUUUAUCUACUAUCAAUAGAUCUGUGCUCUGUCUGUGUAACACUCUGUUGGUUCUUCAUUUACACCAGAUCAUUUUUUAUUUCAUUUCACUGUAACAAUGCCAUUUAAAGAUAAUAAAAACUUUAUUUGAACCAAAACAUGUUAAAAACGUCAACUCGGCUCGUUUCAUUCACUGUGUGCAAUUGAUUAUUAUUAUUUUUCAUUCAAACAGAAACUAGAUUUGGUCUUUAAAAAGUCCUCAAAGUGAGUCUGAAAAGUAGAGGAAGGUUUUAUCAUCAGGGUGCAGCACAGUUGUUUCCUGUGUUUUCAUUUGUGAUAUUCUCUCUAAGGUGUGUUAUUGUUCAUUUAAAGUAUGUGGAGGACAAAUCCACACAUCUAACAAAGAAGGUAAAAUAUAAAGAUAGGAGAUUUCUGCAUGACAUCAACGAUAUCCUGGAUUUAGUUUUCUAAGCAACAGGUGGUCGUCUUUUAUCGGGGGUACUUUGAUCCAGAAAUCUGAAAAGGGGUUACUAAAGCAAAAGAAGAAAAACCAGAGACUGUAUAUAGAAUGGACAGAGUCUGCCUCCUCGCUGGGUGAAGCCACUCUGAGAACAGCACCCUCUGUUGAUGGGCUGCAGUAUAGGUCAUAAAUCCCGCCUGCGCCAGCAAAGCUUAUGGAGCUGUGGACGAACUUUAGAAAUUUAUUACACAGAACAUAAUUUUUUCUCCCUCCUGGUUGUGAUGUUGACAUGUAGUUAUUGUCAGACUGGUUUGUGCUCAAGUCCUCUUUUUUCUGUGAAGCUCCAUUUUUAAAAGUUAUUAGGGGGUUCAUGUUUGCUAUGACGUUUCACAGCCAUAAGGAAUAACCAAUCGGAGCCUAGCACUUCUAGCCAAUCAGAUGCGAAGGAGGGUGGGACCUUCCCCUACCAUCCCACGAAAAAAAAAACCAAACACGUCCGGGUUUGCCGACCUUUAUUUCUGAGCCCCAGAUAACAGGACAGAGAUACCUAAAGCAUACAACGUGAACUUGUGUUAUCACAUCAACAUAUUUGGCUCCUACACUGAAUAUAAUGUUGGACAGUGAUCUUUGUAAAGUGAGGUGAAGGAGGAGUUUGUGUAGUGACAACACAAUCACACUGUGUGCAAAAAUAAAAACCUGUUCAACCAAAUCUUCACAUUUAGUUGGGGUAUGAGAAGAGGAGUGC
rnacentral:lncRNA from 1 species